rnacentral:rRNA from 1 species
UACGUAGGUGGCAAGCGUUGUCCGGAUUUAUUGGGUUUAAAGGGUGCGUAGGUGGUCUAUUAAGUCAGUGCUGAAAUAUCCCGGCUUAACCGGGAGGGUGGCAUUGAUACUGAUGGACUUGAGUGGAGUCGAGGUAGGCGGAAUUGACGGUGUAGCGGUGAAAUGCUUAGAUAUCGUCAAGAACACCGAUAGUGCAGACAGCUUACUAGGCUCUAACUGACACUGAGGCACGAAAGUGUGGGGAUCAAACAGG